AUGGCAGCGCCUAGGGCAUAUUGGGACCAUGCAUACGAGAAAGGUCUUGUUGAUAUAAUGGUUGACCACAACAAUCCCAUUUAUCGAGGUCAAAAUGGGUGGACUGCUGAAGGGUGGACUAAUAUUACAAAUACAUUCAAUCAGAAAUUUCCACUAGCUCAUGUCACCAAGCAACAAAUCCAAGAGAAGGAUAAUGAUUUAAAAGGAAAUUAUAAGGCAGCGAGAGACUCUCGGAAACAGAGUGGCACGGGAUGGGAUGAUACACUUUGGAUGAUCAUUGCUGAACCUGUAAUAUGGGAUAAACUUAUCAAGGAUAAUCCAAGGGUAAAGAAGUUCUGUUCAAAACCAUUCAUGCUCUUCAAGUCAUUGGCUACACUACAUGAAGGAAGUAUUGCUUCAGGAGACUUGAACUUUGUAUCAAUUCCGCAAGUGGAUCUCACAAGCCAUGCCAUUUCUCCUAUGGAUUCCUCUACCAAUGAUUUCAACCAUAUCUCCUCUACCAAUGUUGAUGAUUGUAUGUCCUCAUCUGAUCUACAAGGGAAAGGGGCAUCAAGAAGAGAUGAACCUGAAGCUACAACAUCUACCAAUUCUGAACAAAAGGGAGAACUGCCUAUGAAAAAGAGGAAGCAAAGUCAGAUCGCUGUUGUACUUGAGGAUUACAUGGAUUUUCGGAAGAAACAAUCUGCAAAACUGGUUGACGAGUUGAAGGAAUCAAAGCAAGAUGACAUUUUCUCGAUUGGAAACUGUGUGGCUGCGCUAGAACCAAUGGAAGAUUUAUCAGUUGCAGAAAAAGCAAAGGCACUGUGGCUUUUCAAAUGCCCAAUGAAUCGAGAAAUAUUCAUCAAUACCAAGGACUCAAAUCUUUGGCUUUAUUGGUUGAAGGAGGAGAUUUCUGAGAUGUACAGAGCAUAA
rnacentral:rRNA from 1 species